GAUGAACGCUGGCGGCGUACCUAAUACAUGCAAGUCGAGCGAACAGAUGAGAAGCUUGCUUCUCUGUUGUUAGCGGCGGACGGGUGAGUAACACGUGGGUAACCUACCUAUAAGACUGGGAUAACUCCGGGAAACCGGGGCUAAUACCGGAUAAUAUUUUGAACCGCAUGGUUCAAUAGUGAAAGACGGUUUCGGCUGUCACUUAUAGAUGGACCCGGGCCGUAUUAGCUAGUUGGUAAGGUAACGGCUUACCAAGGCGACGAUACGUAGCCGACCUGAGAGGGUGAUCGGCCACACUGGAACUGAGACACGGUCCAGACUCCUACGGGAGGCAGCAGUAGGGAAUCUUCCGCAAUGGGCGAAAGCCUGACGGAGCAACGCCGCGUGAGUGAUGAAGGUCUUCGGAUCGUAAAACUCUGUUGUUAGGGAAGAACAAAUUUGUUAGUAACUGAACAAGUCUUGACGGUACCUAACCAGAAAGCCACGGCUAACUACGUGCCAGCAGCCGCCGUAA
rnacentral:rRNA from 1 species